rnacentral:misc_RNA from 1 species
GAGACUUUAGAGGAGGGCGAGAAAAGGAAAACUAAACUAGGCUGAGAGAUUUCUAAGUCUAUUUAAGCGUGGUUUGAAAAGCUUUUUUACUAGGGAACUUGCCCAACUUUAUGGAGAAGCGAGAGGAAUCAAUUUGCUCUGAAUAACAGCGUGAUUUGAUGGUUUUUAUUUCUAAAAUGUAUGAGGAAACAAACAACUGUGGUUGGACAGUAACAAGAGUUUUCAAUUCUGCAUUUUACCAAGAGAAAUAAAACCUCAAGGAUGAGAACAACCAAACAAAGAACCGGUUUAAAAGGACACGCGCCGCAAAA